CACUUGGCACAUGUCUCUAAAACGCAAGUUUAAAUUUGAGCGGACACCUUUGGCUGAAGUUGAAGUAGUGAAAAGACUUCAACAGAAGUUUGGUCAUUCAAAAAAGUCUGUGCAACCUGAAGAAAGCAGUUGCAAAGAAAUUACAAGGCCUUUGGAGAUUAAUGCUGUUGGAGAAUAUGCUACAGCAAUAGAGGGACAUGUGAAAGUCCUGCAGGUCCAAUAUAGAAAGAGACUCACAUUGUUGAAGAUCGAAUGAGGAGGACCUUUGCCUGGAGGCAGCAGGAGAUUUCUAGUGGUAUGACUGUUGAAGAUGUCGUCAACAAAUAUCCAUUCUUGAAGAGUCCAACAGGGCUUUAUCAAGAAAUUGGUUUCCUGUAUAAAUGUGUUCAUCUGAGCCGCCAUUUUCGAGAACCUUUUGGACCCAUUACAUCCAGCGUGCUACGUCUUGCUCAAGGGAAAUCCACUUUAGCAAAGCUGCAUAAAGAAGCUAGAGAAGAAUCUCUUUGAAGACCAUCUUGGAAUUGAUUUUAAUGCAGCACUUCUCAUGUUGCCAGCCUAGUUCAGAGAGAAACUUGAACAUUUCAUUGUGCUUGGAGAGAGUGAACCAUCUUCACCAUAUCCUUCUGUUCAAGUACAGGAGACCACUGACUGGAAAACUGUGUUUACAAGAAGAGUCACUGCAGUCAUCAAAGUUGAUGGGAUCGAAAUCUGCCGGGCGAAUGGUGUGGAUGAAGGGGCUCUUGCAGCAUUUUGUGCUUAUUUCGUCUUCAAUUUGACAUUUCCAUCUCAUCUGAAGAACACCCUGGUGUUUCUUCAGCGGUAUGUUCUGAAACUUACUGUGGAUGGGGACAAGCCUCUACCUAACCCAGUUACCAGAAUAAUCAACCUCUUACAGUAACAUCAGCAAAAAUGCCCCACCUGUUCAAUUGCCCUAAAUGUUCUCGAAGAACAUUCACAAUCAUCAAAUUAAUC